CAGCGAAAUGCGAUACCUAGUGUGAAUUGCAGAAUUCCGCGAAUCAUCGAGUCUUUGAACGCAAGUUGCGCCCGAGGCUUGUCCCGAGGGCAUGCCUGCCUGAGCGUCACCGCACUCCCACCCGACGAACCCUCGUCGCGAGUGGAACUGGCCGUCCGGGGUCGGGCGUCGAUGCCCAGUGCCGCGGUCGGCUGAAAUGGAGCGUUCCGGACGUAGCCGGAGAGGGGGAUAGCGAGAAGGUGAUCCGCCUUCGGGCGGAGUCUAUUUUGACAGCGUCCCUCGAUCCGGAGGGUCCCACGGAACUCGGAGCGAGAGCUCGCCCGGUCGAUCGUCCGCGGUCGACCGGGAGAGUCACACCACGGCUCGGACCUCAGAUCAGGCAAGAUUACCCGCUGAGUUUAAGCAUAUCACU
rnacentral:rRNA from 1 species